AACGCAUAUUGCGCCCUUUGGUAUUCCGAAGGGCAUGCCUGUUCGAGCGUCAUUAUCAACCAUCAAGCCUGGCUUGUCGUUGGACCUCUUUACCGCUGAAAUAUGUGGUAGGUCCGAAAGAUAAUGACGGCGUCGUGUUUGACCCUAGAUGCAACGAGCUUUUUAUAGCACGCAUUGAAGUGGUCGGCCGACCCGGUCUUUAACCAUUAUUUUCUAAGGUUGACCUCGGAUCAGGUAGGAAUACCCGCUGAACUUAA
rnacentral:misc_RNA from 1 species